ACGCGUGGAACCUUACCAGCCCUUGACAUGUCCAGGACCGGUCGCAGAGAUGUGACCCUCUCUUCGGAGCCUGGAACACAGGUGCUGCAUGGCUGUCGUCAGCUCGUGUCGUGAGAUGUUGGGUUAAGUCCCCGCAACGAGCGCAACCCCCGUCCUUAGUUGCUACAUUUACGUUGUAGUCACUCUAAGGAGACUGCCGGUGAUAAGCCGCGAGGAAGGUGGGGAUGACGUCAAGUCCUCAUGGCCCUUA
rnacentral:rRNA from 1 species